GAACGGUAGCACAGAGAGCUUACUCUUGGGUGACGAGUGGCGGACGGGUGAGUAAUGUCUGGGAAACUGCCCGAUGGAGGGGGAUAACUACUGGAAACGGUAGCUAAUACCGCAUAACGUCUUCGGACCAAAGUGGGGGACCUUCGGGCCUCACACCAUCGGAUGUGCCCAGAUGGGAUUAGCUAGUAGGUGGGGUAACGGCUCACCUAGGCGACGAUCCCUAGCUGGUCUGAGAGGAUGACCAGCCACACUGGAACUGAGACACGGUCCAGACUCCUACGGGAGGCAGCAGUGGGGAAUAUUGCACAAUGGGCGCAAGCCUGAUGCAGCCAUGCCGCGUGUAUGAAGAAGGCCUUCGGGUUGUAAAGUACUUUCAGUGGGGAGGAAGGCGAUGGAGUUAAUAGCUUCGUCGAUUGACGUUACCCGCAGAAGAAGCACCGGCUAACUCCGUG
rnacentral:rRNA from 1 species